rnacentral:rRNA from 1 species
AGCGGCGGACGGGUGAGUAACGCAUGGGUAACCUGCCCUGUACACACGGAUAACAUACCGAAAGGUAUGCUAAUACGAGAUAAUAUACUUUUAUCGCAUGGUAGAAGUAUCAAAGCUUUUGCGGUACAGGAUGGACCCGCGUCUGAUUAGCUAGUUGGUAAGGUAACGGCUUACCAAGGCGACGAUCAGUAGCCGACCUGAGAGGGUGAUCGGCCACAUUGGAACUGAGACACGGUCCAAACUCCUACGGGAGGCAGCAGUGGGGAAUAUUGCACAAUGGGCGAAAGCCUGAUGCAGCAACGCCGCGUGAGCGAUGAAGGCCUUCGGGUCGUAAAGCUCUGUCCUCAAGGAAGAUAAUGACGGUACUUGAGGAGGAAGCCCCGGCUAACUACGUGCCAGCAGCCGCGGUAAUACGUAGGGGGCUAGCGUUAUCCGGAAUUACUGGGCGUAAAGGGUGCGUAGGUGGUUUCUUAAGUCAGAGGUGAAAGGCUACGGCUCAACCGUAGUAAGCCUUUGAAACUGGGAAACUUGAGUGCAGGAGAGGAGAGUGGAAUUCCUAGUGUAGCGGUGAAAUGCGUAGAUAUUAGGAGGAACACCAGUUGCGAAGGCGGCUCUCUGGACUGUAACUGACACUGAGGCACGAAAGCGUGGGGAGCAAACAGGAUUAGAUACCCUGGUAGUCCACGCCGUAAACGAUGAGUACUAGCUGU